rnacentral:lncRNA from 1 species
CAAUCCCCUUGGCAACCUGCUCCUGCUCCAACUGGGCAGUGGCUGACAGGUAAAGAAUGGGAAGGAAGCGUGCUUCGGUGCAAAAAGGUUAUCAGUCCGGUGCUGUGACAGUCAGCAGAAACCUGCCUUGGUCAGAGGCUAUGCCAGAGACAAAGGGAAGAUAGCCCAGGGGUGAGGAACUAGAGAAUAAGGGAGGCCUGGAGGUGAGGCUUUGUUACCAUGGCUACCAGGAUGCAAACACGGCUGUGCGCAAAGAUGCUGGAAGCAAGGAGCAGCUUCUUAAGAAACCGUUUUUUGGUGUGUGUGGCCUUUUUGGCUGCGUAAUGUGCCUGUUGAAUAAAUAUUUCUCUUUCGCUACAAUCCAGUGACACUUUCAUUGUUUUUACUUCAUAAACAAGAAGGCUGAGUUUCUAUAACUUUUGUUUGUUUGACUUGUCUCCUUCGCUGUGCUAAAGGCAAUGGAAGGGAAAGAGCAGAACACUCUUAUUUGGGACUGGGAAGCGUAAUGCCAUGUCAGGCUUCCCCAAGCUGGAGCCCUCCAGAUGUUUCGGACAGCAGCUGAGCUGGCUGGAGCUGAUGAGAGCUGUGGUCCAAAACAUCUGUGUGGCACCAGGUUGCAGGAGGCGGUGCUAUUCUGAGGCUGCUACAAGGGCCAAACAGAAAAUUGACUUUGACGUUUGGGGCCCUGAAAUUGGGAAGCCGUUUUUAACUGUUUGGGAGUGAUGUUUACCGUGCUUUGUACACAGAACAUCAUUUGACAGAGGAAGUUGAGCUAAAGGGAGAAUGAAUUUUAAAGACAGGUUGUCAGGAUGCUCAGCAGGGAAGAGAGACCUGAAAGCCACAAAAGAGAUGUCACUUCUGCACACAUUACAAUAUGUUGUAAAUAAAUGCCAAUUACAUGUGCAUUUGAUGGAUCAUUGCAGUGCAGGUACAAACCUCUGGCUGAUCUUGGUUUGAAGUUUGGCUAGGAGUCUCACAGCUUCUUUUCAUGAAUGUACUUCUUCAUGUUAUCUGUUAAUCAGUACAGUGGUAUCUCGGGUUAAGUACUUAAUUCGUUCCAGAGGUGUUCUUAACCUGAAACUGUUCUUAACCUGAAGCACCACUUUAGGUAAGGGGCCUCCGCUGCUGCUGCGCCGCCGGAGCACAAUUUCUGUUGUCAUCCUGAAGCAAAGUUCUUAACCCGAGGUACUAUUUCUGGGUUAGCGGAGUCUGCAACCUGAAGCGUAUGUAACCUGAAGCAUAUGUAACCCGAGGUACCACUGUAAUGGCUAGUGACCCUUGGGACUGGUAGGAUGGAAGACUGGGAGACCAACAGUAGAUGGCACUAGAAUUGAUGACAGGCAGAUCUAACUAACUCUGGAAUUGGUUCAUCCCCCCCCCAAUUAUAAUCCGGCCCCUCACAAGGUCUGAGGGACAGUGAACCGGCCCCCCGCUGAAAAUGUUUGCUGACCCCUGGUCUAAUGCGUUUCCAAGCACAAUUCAAAGUGUUGGUGCUGGCCUCUAAAGCCCUAAAUGGCCUCGGUCCUGUAUACCUGAAGGAGCGUCUCGACCCCCAUCGUUCCACCCGGACACUGAGGGCCUUCUGACAGUUCCCUCACUGCGAUAAGCCAGGUUACAGGGAACCAGGCAGAGGGCCUUCUCGGUAGUGGUACCCGCCCUGCGGAACGCCCUCCCACCAGAUGUCAAAAAGAAAAACAACUACCAGACUUUUAGAAGACAUCUGAAGGCAGCCCUGUUUAGGGAAGCUUUUAAUGUUUAACAGACCACUGUAUUUUAAUACUUUGUUGGAAGCCGCCCAGAGUGGCUGGGGAAACCCAGCCAGAUGGGCGGGGUAUAAAUAAUAAAUUAUUAUUAUUAUUAUUAUUAUUAUUAUUAUUAUUAUGGUCCUUGUGAUCCUUUCCAACCCUAUGAUUCUCUACCUCCCCAGCUUCUGGAGUCCUGCGCAUCUCAACACAUCCCAUUUUCUUUAUCAGUUUUGGUCACCUUUUCCAGCUCCUCCUCCCAUUUUCUUUACCUCCAGUGGAGCACUCUCUUCCAACUAUCUUUUAUUGGUUUUCUUGCUUCUCAGUCCUCUGCCUCUUCUUUUUUUCCUGGGCUCUCCUGCUGGCUCUACCUCUCCAUACCUAGACCUUCCUCCUAACACCCUGUUCUCGCAGUGGCCAGCCAAACGCCCAUGGGAAACCCACAAGCAGAAUCUGAGCACAAGAGCUCCCCAGCAACUGGUCUUCAGAAGCAGUGAUGCCUCUGACUAUCUGAAGCUGUGCUUAGGCUAUGUUUUUAACCUUUCCUGCAAAAACUUUGAUGCCACUGCCAGACGUAUAGCUGCUCUGUAUCAUAUAUGAAAGAACACCCUAUCAGUGAUUAUUCUCUGAUCUCUCCCGCCGGCCUCGUUCCCUCCUUCAGUUCUGAAAAAUAUCCCCAAAUGCUCUAAAGUAGGGCAGAGGUUGGGGAGGGGGUGUUAUUGGGGGUGGGGGGUUGUCAUAUUUUGCUGGUCCUAAGGCCCCAGAUUACCUUAAUCCUGUUCUGUGUAUAAGGAGAGGAGACAGUAAGGAAAUUGUCUCUUUUUCAAUUCCUGGAGGAGUCGAGAGAUUUUGUUUGAAGACAGUUCUUAAUUUCCUGCCUUGCGUGCUUCAAAGCUGAGGUAUGCCUUAGGGAGUUUUUGGGGACUGCUCUGCUCGCAAGAGCUCAGGAAGCAGAGCUCGUGGGGAAAAUGACAGCUGCAAUUUUAAUAUGAUGACUGCUUUUCAAAUGAGCUCAAUUACGGACGCAGGGCUGUUGCCCUGUUGACAGUGUUGGUUAAAAACCAGAAGAACAACUCCAUCGGAUGCAAGGAAAGCAACCAGGCUAAAGGACGAACACUGAAAUGGGCCUCUUGCUAAGGCUUCACUGGGGCCAAAGGAAGCAUGGAAGGUUUUCUUUCUUUCUUUAUAUAUAUAUCUAUAGAUUGAUAGAUAGAUAGAUAGAUGAUAGAUAGAUAGAUAGAUAGAUAGAUAGAUAGAUAGAUAGAUAGAUGAUAGAUAGAUGAUAGAUAGAUAGAUAGAUAGAUAGAGAUAUAUACAGUCAUACCUCAGAUUACAGACGCUUCAGCUAGCAUUUUUUCAGGUUACGGACGCGCCGAAACCCAGAAGUACGGGAACGGGUUACUUCCAGGUUUUGGCGGUCGCGCAUGCGCAGAAGCGCUAAAACACACUUUGCGCAUGUGUAGAAGUGCCGAAUCGCAACCCGUGUGUGCGCAGAUGCAGCGCUGCGGGUUGCAAACGUGCCUCCCACACAGAUCACAUUCGCAACCCGAGCAUCCACUGUGUGUGUGUGUGUGUGUGUGUGUGUGUGUAUAGGUUUACAAAAGUACCAGUAUGUGCAAUGUCGCUUUUUCAAGUUACAUUUUCUACAGAUCAGUUUCAUUUGUUGAGGCAUUAGUAUUACAUUAGGAAGAAAAGGGGGAAAGAGGUAGGGGGGGAAUGGGGAGUGGGGUGGGGGUCAGGUGGCAAUGCUUCUAUUCUACUUAGUGUAUGUGUGGGGCUUUGUGUCAGCAUCACCUGUGUGGGUUCUCUUUACUAUUCGCUUGUGUUCCUUUGGUGGUGAGAGAGGUUGGGGGUUGGCCUAAGGUGUGGUUGCUUGUUUUUGAUUGUAACCCGCCAACAGCAUUCGAAUCAAUCUGGCUAAGCUGAUGCAAACACACCCACACCCCACUCACACAAGAAACCAAAGUUUUCUUUCACUUCUGAGUACCUGUAAAAAGGGCUGCAAUGAAUUGCUGGUGAAUUGGUGCAAUUUCAUAGCUGUCAACUUUUCCCUUUUCUUGCGAGGAAUCCUAUUCGGAAUAAGGGAAUUUCCCUUAAAAAAGGGGAAACAGCUAUGCAAUUAAUGUUGCUAGAAACGUUUUGGUUGGCUAAAAGUGUGUGUCUGGUUGAUCAGGUAGCAGGUUCUUACUUUCUAAAUGGCCCUGGCCACAUCCACACCAAACAUUCAAAGCACAUGACUUUCCCUGAAGAAUCCUGGCAGCCACACCUUUUAAGGGUGUUGGGAACUGUAGCCCCAUGGGGGAGGGUAAAACUACAGUUCCCAGGAUUCUUGGUGGGGAGAGGAGCAUGACUGUUAAAGCGAUACUAGUAUGCUUUAAAUGUGUGGUGUGGGUGUGUUCUUUAAAGCUGUAGAGGGUCAAGUGGUUUUUGAGAAGUGGAGAAUGCUUUUCAGCUGCAUGCCCUCCUGGGCAACCCCACUGAUGGGAACGGCCACAGGCAACAGUGGGUGGGGCCAGAGGCAAAAGUAGGUGGAGCAAUAGAGACUAAUCUUUCUUUUUCAGAGAAGCGUGCAUUCCAAUCACACACAACUAUGGGGUUUCUGUUUCUACAGACAUAGGGCUACUAUACAUCUGGGAUCCCGGACAUAUCCGGGAUUCAUCCAUUGAAAAUAGUGUCCAGGCAGAAUUUUGGAGAAGUGGUAAAAUGUCAGGGAAAACUGGGAGCGUAUGGCAACCCAUGUCAGAAGUGUUGAUUUUUUGGCGAAUUUCCAUAAAAAUUGCUCCAAAACUUCAUUUUUCAUUCUUUGAAGUUUUGCAAAAAAAACAAAAAAAACUCAACAGCUUUGCACCCCCCCCCCAAAAAAGACAACUUCGCUCCCCAAAAAGUUCAACAACUUUUGUGUCCGGAUUUUUACUUUUUGAAAUAACUCUAUACCCUCCAACAUUUCUCCAAUGAAAAUAGGGACGUCCUAAGGAAAAGCGGGGAACUUGGAGGGUCUGAAAUUUAUGCAGAUUUAAUGUCUAUUAUAUUGAGUAAUCAACUAUUCUUCCUCUGAUUCUUUGACUUUAAUCACAGGACUGUGCUUAGGUUCAGUGAGAGUUGGAUACCAGUGUUUGAGCAAGUCCAAUGUCUGUUCCAUCCACAUUGGAUCAGUUUUUUUAUUAUGGCCUGAGGAGGUGGACAAGUUGCUUAAAGAAGUGCAGCCGACCGCUUGCCUCCUUGGCCCUUGCCCAUCUUGGUUUCUUAGAGCUACCUGUAAGAGGAUGACCGGGCGAGUCCAGAGAGUGAUUAGUGUUUCACAGAAGGAAGAGGAGGAAAUGCCAUUGGCAUUGAAGGAGGAAGUGGUGUGCCUCCUCCUCAAGAAGACCUCUGUGGACCCCAAGAUGUUAAAAUAACCAUUGCCCGGUGGUCUUCUGGGGGCAAGAUGCUAGGGAAGAUGGUAGCAGUCCAGCUUCAGGCAUGCUUGGAGAAAACUGCGUACUUGGAUCUGUUCUAGUCUGGCUUGAUCAUGGCACUGAAACUGCUUUGAUCAGGAGAGAGAUGGGGCAGUACAAGCCUUGAUCUCUCGACAAUUCCUGAAACUGUCAACCUCAGGAAGGUAGAAACUUGGGGACAUUGUGCGGCAGCUAGACUGGUGGCUGGGCGUGGCUGCCGAGACCAUAUAACACUGGUCCUGAAAGACCUACAUUGGCUCCCAGUAUGUUUCCAAGCACAAUUCAAAGUGUUGGUGCUGACUUUUAAAGCCCUAAAUGGCCUCGGUCCAGUAUACCUGAAGGAGCGUCUCCACCCCCAUCGUUCUGCCCGGACACUGAGGUGCACCUCACAGGGCCUUCUAGCAGUUCCCUCCCUUCGAGAAGUGAGGUUACAGGGAACCAGGCAGAGGGCCUUCUUGGUAGUGGCGCCCACCCUGUGGAACGCCCUCCCGUCAGAUGUCAAGGAAAUAAACAACUAUCUGACUUUUAGAAGACAUCUGAAGGCAACCCUGUUUAGGGAAGUUUUUAAUGUUUGAUGUUUUAUUGUGCUUUUAAUAUUCUGUUGGGAGCUGCCCAGAGUGGCUGGGGAAACCCAGCCAGAUGGGCAUGGUAUAAAUAAUUUAUUUUUAUUAUUAUUAUUGUUAUUCCACUCCUGCCUCCAGAGCCACUUGCAGAAAAUACACUUAUGACAAGUUAGUGUUCAGCACCACCUCAGCUGCUCUCUAUUGUCCUGCAAGGUUGAAUCUUGUCCCCCAUGCUGUUAACAUCUAUAGGAAGCUGCUGGGAGCUGCCACGGGAUAUUUGGAGUGUAGGUGGCACUUAGUUCUUUCUUCCACCUGAAUCAGGCGAAGUGGUUGGAGGCGAUGGUGAGGUAGAAUUUUCCUCCCCAGUUACGCUCACAAGUCAUUGAAGCAUCCUUGCGUGGAAACACCACAUAGGGGCGUAUGUGUUUGUGUGUCAACUUCCAGUGACAAGUGUAGGUGUCUGCCAUCUGGGUACCACACAGCUGAUUCUCUUCUCUCUGCUCUCCACAGAGAGACUUCCUUGGCAAAACUGGACCAUUCCAGAAACGGUAGCCUGCCACGGUAAGUCUGCCUUCGUGGAUGCUGCUACUUCCCUCUCUUCCCAAUUGCCGCUUAAUUCCUUGUGUAAACUCUUCAUUUUUGCCACCUCGAGGCAUGCUUCCAGUGACCCUGUCCAGUGUUUCCUCUUCCCCCAGCACACACACACACACACACACACACACACACACAUCUGGGAGGUCCCCUGGGAAGUCUGCUGCCUUGAUCUCUUUCGGGUAAGUGCUAACUGCUGAUAAUAAUCUAACAAUAAGCAUUUCAGGGCAAGGUUAGGGAUAUUAUUAUGGCAAAGCGUUGACACUCCUUUACUUGUUGUUGCAGAUGGGGCCGGGGAUGGGGGGGUGGGCUGGGCUGGAAGUGGAUGGGGAUUGAGACCAAAUAGGCCUCUUUUCCUGACCUUGUGUAAAUGGCCGACUUUAGGUCACGGCUGUGCAAACAGAAUCUUCCCUCCCCUACUUGUUUAUUUCUUUAUUUGUCUAGCUAAUGCGGGUUUAGUUCAAAUGCUGCCGAAAGGACUGCUAGUCCCCUGUCAUGGGCUUCACAGCCUGUGCCAGAAAUCGGUGGCAGGACCACUAGGCAGACAGCCACGCCAAUCUCUCCUCAAAGUGCCACAUUCUCCAAAUUCGGGGUGCACCUUCCCACACUCUGUCAAAUAGCAGAACUCUGCUCCCUGCAACUUCAGUGGAAAAAAUCAUGUCAUUACUGAAUUACUCAGCCUGCUGCUUGGGAUAGAAGUCUCAAUUCGCUCCUGUGCUUGCAGGGGCUGGAGAAGCCAGCUCUGGGCAAGGAGGGAAAGAAAACUCCAAUGGUCCUCUGUCCUUCCACAGCUAUUAGUCAGCUUUGGAGGUGGUUUGGCUGCUCUCCUUCCAAAAGGAGUUGUAAAGUAAAGGUAAAGGGACCACUGACCAUUAGGUCCAGUCGUAGCCGACUCUGGGGUUGCGGCGCUCAUCUCGUUUUAUUGGCCGAGGGAGCCGGCGUACAGCUUCCAGGUCAUGUGGCCAGCAUGACUAAGCCGCUUCUGGCGAACCGGAGCAGCGCAUGGAAACGCUGUUUACCUUCCCACCAGAGUGGUACCUAUUUAUCUACUUGCACUGUGACGUGCUUUCGAACUGCUAGGUUGGCAGGAGCAGGAAACGAGCAAUGGGAGCUCACCCCGUCGCGGGGAUUCAAACCGCCGACCUUCUGAUCGGCAAGUCCUAGGCUCUGUGGUUUAACCCACAGCUCCACCCGUGUCCCUAAAAGGAGUUGUAAACACAUGCUAUUUGUCAUGGUUAGGAGUUGCCCGUCUUCAAUUCAGAUUUUUGUGCAGGUGCAUCACCAGGUAAACUACAGAACGAUGGGCUAAAGCAUUUGCCUAGUACUCUCAGGCCCUGGACUAGCUCUGUCCACCCAAGCUGGUCACAGGGCACCUUCUUAUUUCACCUGAGCAGCAAGACAUUCCUGGUGUUGAUGUGGCCUUGCAUGCUCUGCACCUGUGCCCUGCAGCCCUGCAUUUGGACUUAUCUUUGGUUCCAACUGUCAGGAGUUCAGCCUACCCUCAAGUAGGAACCUGGCAGAGAUACAAGCCCGACUGGCAUGUUCUCUCCCUCCUGGUCGAUCGUUUGGGAGCUUCAAAAGCUUUCUUCUGCCCGAACAUCACAGCGACCGAUGCCAACAAACACCUGCACACUUAGGGAUCCGCAGAGUCUUUGCAGCUUGCAUAACAGACCUCAGCAACUCAGCAUUUUGGCUAAUCUACUUUAUUUACAUAUAAACAUAUACAGAGCACUGCAACAGGGCUCCCUCUCUCUCUCUAGCAUCAGACAGCAAAGAGAAAAAGAACAAAAGACAAUAGUCCCACUUCACGGAACACAGUAACACAACCCUCCUGUCUCCGUCACUUCCCACUCUGUGGAGUCAAAACAUACACCGUCAUGAGAUAGACAAACAUCCCAUGACUGCAAUCAUAGACCAGGAAUUCUAACAACAACACCUGCUUUCUUCUAGGCUUGCGUUUGAUUCCUCUGGUUCCUGGUGUGGAUAGUGUCAUUAUGUAGUUUAGUCAAUAGGUGGCGCUGAACUGACCUGUCUCUGGGUGGAGUCAGGCAAUUCCUGUUGCUGCUCUGUUCCUGUUGGAGAGAGGCAAUAAAGUUCCUGUCCUGUUUCCUGUAGCUUUUAAGUCUUCCAUGGUAUUCCUUGGUGUCCGAUGGUUUCCUUGGUUCUGAGUCCCCAAGCUUGCUCCUUGGCUUCGACUCUGUCGAUUGGCUCCUGGCUCAUCUUGUACAUCUGCCUGUGGUUCGAUCUGAAUACUCACCUUUUCCAGGUCCUUUGCUCCCUGGAUCUUGCCAGUGGGAAAAGGCACCAGUGCUGUUUGGACAGCAGGCACCAUCUGCAAUAAUCAACUAGCUGAACUGGCAACAAUCUCCCUGAAACAAUAACCCUCAUUGCAGUUGCCCCUUACCCUCAUGGUCAACUGACCGCCAUGCAGGACAAAAGCCUGACAGUGAUUGAUAAAGUCCAGCUGGACUCACUGCGCUUGGCUAAUCAUUUAAGGAGCCAUCCUUCUUCCGUUUUCACGUGCUUAUCCUUACUGCUUCUCUCAAGGCAAACCUCGCUUUCCUGCCUGUCGGCCAAUCUUCCCAAGCCCAAGACAGAUGGCCCAAUUGCAUCUGCCUUCUGCAAUUAAAACAGCAAUUCCUGUCGCUAGGUACUGGGAUGGGAAAAUAAGGGACCCUCCUUUAUUCCUGACCUGGAAAGUUCCCCAAGCAAAACACAGCUCACCCUCUCCAAGCAUCUCAUAAUGAAAACAGCAGGCAACAGAGCAAGCUGUUUACACAAGCUGUGCUCUUCUUCCCAUGGAGAGGUUGACUGGGUUGGAGCUUCCUUGCACAUCCUUGUUUUAAAAAGACAUUCCAGGGACUGGCUUGGCUCCGGCAUUGCAUCUGUUCUGUUCUACAGACCAGUCAAAGGCUAGUCUCUUUAUUUCAUGGACAGAGAACCUUUCUGUUGAGGGCCAGGACCCACAAGCUGUUGGUGGGAAGAGCCAAAAGCAGUGGUGGUUAAAGCUAACAGGGUGUGAUGGCCUGGGACUCAGGCUCAGAUUCAGAAUCAGAGGAGUCUCAGUCUGCACCAGAUCCUUCACCUCAGGCAUCAUCUGAACCAAGUCUGGGGCCUGAUCCUGAAAAGUCCCAGUCUGCACAGGUUCCCCUGCAACAAACACCAGCUGGACUGAGUCAGGGGCCUGAGCCUGCCCUGGCUCCAGAUGUGGGGGAUUACCUCGUUGUCUUCAGCUGGGCCAUCACUUACAGCUGCUCCACUACCAGUUGGGUCAAGGGAGGCUGAGGCGGCCUCUGGGUCUAGUAACCCACCGACGUCUCCCAAGCUGCAGAGACUAAGGUCUGAGAGAAGGAGAGACCUGAGUACUCGCAGGAGGAGUGCUCACCUUUGGGCGAAAUGGGAGGUGAGUCACCGGGGUAUCAGGACCGGCCGUUACCCCGACAAAGAUAAAAGGCUGUCGGACCCCGCCCCAGGUUGCGGGAGCAACAUUGCUGUAUGCCAGAUCCUCCCUGAGAUCCUGUACCUGUCCUUGCCUGGUUUCCUGCCUCGUGUCCUGCCUUGACCCUGUUGGACUGACUCCCAGUGGAACCUUUGGAUUCUGGACUGGUCCUGGGCUGUGUUUCAGGGGUUACCCCUGAGCCCAGCACACAGGAGCUUGGACUGAACACCUUUCUCUCUUCUUCCUCCCCAGUCUCUUCACUGCCCAGCUGUCAGCAGGGGGUCAGACAUCUUGCGAAAGGUCUGAACAGAUCACUUGCAGAGGACUUUUGAAAUCAGGCUAAGGUCUGUGUGUGGCCAUAGGGCUGUUGGUUGCUCAUCAUAGCCCUACUUUUAUAUAGCAGAAUUCCCUCCUUGGUCUUUCGGCCAGGCUUAUCCUAGAUUAGGGAUGGGGAACUUUUCCAACCUUGGGGCCACAUUCCCUUCGAGGCAACCUCCUAGAGGCCACAUGCCAGUGGUGGGCAGAGCAACAAAUAUGAAUUACCUGUAUACCUCUGCACUCCAUCCAGACAGGCAAGAGGCAUGAUUAGAGUUCAAGGAUGCAUUCCAGCUAGGUAAUAAAACUUGAGGUGUGAAGCAAGGCCAAUGAGGGGUGUGGCCUUGAGAAGGAGGGUGUCGCUUGUCGUGUCAAGGGACCACGAGGGUCAUCUAGUCCAACCCCCUGCAAUGUAUGGAUCUUUUGCCCAUCAUGGGGCUCGAACCCACAACCUUGAGAUUAUUAGUCUCAUUCUUAACCAACUGAGCUAUGAUGGGUACACUAAUUGUGUGACAAUUAGAGUAAAACAGUCUAACUAUAAAGUUGGGCUGAGACUUUGGAUGUAUUAGUUAUAUAACAAACUAGAGUGUGUGUUUGUGUGUGUGUAAUGCACAUCUGUAUUGGACUGAAAUGUGAUGAUGGCAUCAUUAUGACAAAAAGAAUUUUUUUUAAGAAAAUGGGAUUUGUUCAUAAGCACGGGCCCCCAAAUGCUAUAAAUCCCCUGCUGUUUAGGAGGUUUGAGUCUUGCUGCAACUGACUAACACAGAUACCCCUUUGGAAUUAGUUGCUUGUUCACCAGAAGCGGCUUAGUCAUGCUGGCCACGUGACCCAGAAGCUGUACGCCGGCUCCCUUGGCCAGUAAAGCGAGAUGAGCGCCGCAACCCCAGAGUCGGUCACAACUGGACCUAAUGGUCAGGGGUCCCUUUACCUUUAUAUUGGUUUGUCAUGCUGUGCAGGUGCAAAACCUCUUCUUUGCAUACAGUAUAUCCUACCUGUAGUCUCUCUUCUGGCGCAUCAUCCGGCGCACCAUGUCUUAGGAUCUGGCCCCAAGCAUUAUUAACACCAUUUGCCUUUCGUUUAAUUAGAAAAACAAACAAGCCCUCUUCAUUUCAUCACUACAAAUAGCGAGCCAAAGAUGUGGCUGGUCCGGCUCCGCCGAACGCAACAGAUUUACACCAGGAAUGACUGUGGUCUGCAUUGUGUUUUAUUCAGCCACAAUAAAUUUACUCCUGCAAGUGCUCUGGUGUGGCAUGAAAGCAGCUGUGUUUUCUUAGGCACCAACAAUUUGACCGAUAUGGUUUUUAUUGCCACCACAGAAGCUGUUAGCGCGUAAAAGUUACAUUAAAGUUUUAUGGACCUUGCUGUCUCCUAUGUUAACCUUCAUAUAUCUAAAGAGGGUUUCCAAAGGAGACACCUCCUUCCAGAAAAGGCCUCUGCAGGUCUGGAAAGACCCACAUGCCACACAUUUAGAACCCGGAGAAAGACAGAAUCCACCGUCCGAAUGAUUCCUGUCCCUCACCUUGCAGAAAAGCAGCGGUGCCUCCUGCUUCGGUGCCCCCUUCCCAUUAAAAAGCAAAACAAAACGCUCCGUCAUACAAGUCUCAAUCAUUAUGCCGUAUCAGAUCAUGUCGCUAAGAAUGCCAUAAUGUAACGGGCAGCCGGCCAGGAAUAAUAUUCGCAUUCCCACUGGAAAUCUCGAAAACCCUUUCAUUUCACCGCGUCCCCAGAUAUACUCUCCACAAAGAGGUCAUGAAAUCUAAACCUCAGUGUAUAAACCGCAGGAGGACAUCGGCCGAACAUGUCAGGCUGGGAGCGAGGGGGUGGGCUGAGAGGUGUGUGUGUGUGAAAAAAGCGGGGAGGGUGUCGCAUUAAAAAUUGCCUUGCCCAUUUACAAUCUGUUGAAAGUUUAAAGAUCGCUUUCUUUGAGGUGACAAAGCGAUCUGUCCGCAGCAAACAAAGGCCAUUUACCCGAGUGCUUGGUUUGGGGGGGGGGUUUGAUGGUGUGUGUGUGUUUGCGUUUUGUGGUUGUUGCUUUUUAAUGCGCGGAACAAGGGCGACUCUGCAGCCGAGUCAGCUUAGAAGCAAGAAUGGUGCCUGAAUCGGGGAGACAGGAUGAUUUGGGAGUGUGGGCUCGCUUGCAUUGUUCCCCUUCCUCCUCGCCCCCACCCUCACCCCCGUGCUGCCCCCAUGCUGAUCUGGCUUUGGCAAUUUGAAAUUGAUUAUUUUGGAUUGUGUGCGUGUGUAGAGCCCCGCCCCUUCUGCCGGCUAAUUAAAAAGUGGCCUUGUUGAGGCAGCAUGCUUUUAAAUUGCUAAGGAUUGGCAGGCCGGGCCCGGCAACAAAAAAAUCAUUAAUUCUAAUGUGACAGUGUUUCUUUAAGGGGCCCUCAUGGUACAGGACAGGGGUCGGAUCAAGUUGAUUAUGGACUCCUGUUCUCAUCAAUCUCGCGCUCUGCGGGAAGGUAGCGGAAACAUAGCUCCAGACUUUGGCUCGCUUUUCAGCUCUGGGCCGAGCUGGGGUCGAGACUGUUUCUCAGGCUCCUCGUUUCUCCUGGGGGGAAGGAAGGGGGGUCAGAAACUAGGCUCCUCCGCGUACAGCCAAGUGUAAUGAAGAGUCAGCCUUCGUCAUCUUCGGCGAGAUUGCUUUUCAGCGUUAAAAGCGCUCCAACCAGGACACUGCUGUUAUUCAGCUGGGCUGGGUCUGGUCCUGCUGGAUUAUCCCAGAGCAGGGUGUGAGAUAUCAAAGUUGGAAGAGCAAGGCAAUGUCAGCUCUGCUUUGUGAGAUUCACUCCCAUGAAUGCAUGAAAGGCUCCCUGUACAAACUGCAUUAGAUGCGCUCCAAAUGUUCAUUCCUGAUUGGUCACGCUCUGACCCGCAGCUGCAUUCCCUGGCUGGAGGAGUGAAAGAUGCACUGUGGCUUUGUUCUGCCAAAAUCAGGGCUUGGAACCAUGACAGGACUAUCAUAUUACUGAAAUGGAGGGUCAUCUGGAGAAAAAUGAUCCUCGCUGUGGCUCGAGGGGCAUGUCCCUCCUCGGGAGAACAAAACACGGAAAGUCCCGGAUUGGUUUCCGUUGAGGUGGGCGCAGUGAAUACUGGGUGCAAAACAAGGAUCCGGCAGAGACCCGGAAUCCUGCUCCAUCGCAACAUCCAAGGAUACAACUCUCACUUCUAAAUUAUUUGCUUCUAAAUUCUGCUGUGUGGAUCGAAACGGUGACUGAACAAUAUACAGUGGUACCUCGGGUUACAUACGCUUCGGGUUACAUACGCUUCGGGUUACAUACGUUUCAGGUUACAGACUCUGCUAACCCAGAAAUGGUACCUCGGGUUAAGAACUUUGCUUCAGGAUGAGAACAGAAAUCGUGCUCUGGCGGUGCGGCAGCAGCGGGAGGCCACAUUAGCUAAAGUGGUGCUUCAGGUUGAGAACAGUUUCAGGUUAAGAACGGACCUCCGGAACGAAUUAAGUACUUAACCCGAGGUACCACUGUACUUGGCAUGUUUAGGCUUUCUCUAAGUAGAUCUUGCCUUUCAGUGACUAAUUUGGACUCACUAUCAUAACCCAAGGUUGGUUGGUUUAAAAAAAACAAACCCAACUAGCUUUGAUAAUUCCAUUGUCUGCCCCAAGUGUCCCCCCCUUCUUUCUUUCAGAGAAUAGUCUCUUUUAUUUUUGUUAAGUUUCUAGUGCUCAUGGACAUCAGCGCUAUGAACAUCAGUAGGUGGCAGCUGCUGAAAGCACAGCAAAACAGUGGAUGGGUUGUGUUCAGUGCUUUUUUUCUUUAAAAAAUGUUUAGGGGUACUCUCAUUUUCCUACUCAUAUUGAAAUUCUGCCCCUCAAUGAGGCCAAACUUAGAUUCACAACAUGUUUAGGGGUAUGCGUACCCCUGCGUCCCCCCAGAAAAAAAGCACUGGUUGUGUGUAUUCUGAGAAUCUGUGCAAAUGCAGGGUGUCCAUGCUAAUACUUAGCAAAAUAAAUUAAUAAUUCCCCCAACACAGCAUUUUGUAGCAAAAAGAACCUAAAACACUGCAAUAAAUCAGAAUCAGAUAGGCAAUUACAAAAUGUGCACCGUUUAUUCUGAGUGUGGCAUUCGGUUCUUAUUGUCACAGAAUUUGGAUGGGGCAUUAUAACCUAGUGGUCACCGAGGAAGCAGUUUUACUCGAUGCAACUUUUAUUGUGGGCAUAGUCCAGCUGAACCCCAGCUGAAAAGUAAAAGUUUUUAAAACAUGCCCUGUCCUAUUUGGGGCUGGACCUUUUUAUUGGGGAUGAGCUAACCACUACACAAUAGGCUGAAAUUCAAUAGUUCUAGUGAAGCACCCAGGGGUGUGCUCUCUCUCUCUCGUUUUACCCCUCACAGAGUUACAGUUUGUGACACCCUUAACAAAUUACAGUUCCCAGGAUUCAAAGAGGGGUGAGUGAGAGAAUGUGCUUUUAAAUAUAUGGUGUGUAUGCAGCCUUUGCACCCAAUGUGCUUCACCUUAAGUCAAUCCACUCCUCUCAUUUUUCUGCCACGGUGUCUUCGCAAAACUGCAAUUGCUGUUUCUUGCCCACUUAUUUGUGGGGCCAGGGUCUCUGCCUCUGUCCCUGCAGGUGAAUCCCCCAUCCAGGAAACAUUAACAAUAAUUUAGAAGCAAUAACAUUUGUUUGUCAAAGAGCCCUGCUGGCUAUCAGGUAUCACUUGGGGCAAAACCUUAAUGAGAGGCACAAUAAUGGAACAGCAGCUUUAAAAGUAUUUUUGUUCUAGCUGUAUGAACUGUGCAACGGACUGGCUUGACAAUUUGCCAAGAACCUUCUACAGUCAUACCUUCUACAAUCGUAGCUUAGUUCUCGAAUUUUUCGCCCCCCCCAACGCCGCAAACCUGGAAGUGAGUGGUCCGGCUUGUGAACUAUUUUUUGGAAGCUGAACGUCCUAAGGUGCUUUCGCGGCUUUCGAUUGGCAAUCAGAGCUUCCUGCAGCCAAUCAGAAGCUACACUUUGGUUUCCAAAUGUUUUAGAAGUCGAACGGACUUCCGGAACAGAUUCCGUUCGACUUCCAAGGUACGACAGUAUAUGUCUUUGACAGAAAACAAAACCAGCAUCCUCCCUGUAGCUUGACUAAUUGCAGCUAGAAGUGGCUAGGAGGUAGGUGGAGUCGUAGACCUUAGAAAAGUGUAGAUUCACAAACGCUGGCUGGCUUUUGACUUGAAAUGUUCGUUUUCGGCUUCUCAGAAAUCUGUAACGGCGAGAAGCAGCAAGGGGGAGCUGGCCAACAAUGGGGCCCAACUGAGAGGUGCCAGAACUGUGCUCUGGCAUGCGCCAACUGGGGGGGGGAGCACUGCGCAUGCAUCUGCUGCAGUUGACUCUAGCCCCUAAAAGCUUAUAAUUACAGUGGAUGCUCAAGGUGCGAACGUGAUCUGCGCGGGAGGCACGUUCACAACCCGCAGCAUCUGCAACCUGCAGUGCCACUUCUGUGCAUGCACGGGUUGCAAUUCAGCACUUCUGCACAUGAGCAAGUGCCAAAACCCAGAAGUAACUCGUUCUGGUACUUGCAGGUUUUGGCGCGUCUGUAACCCAAAAAUGCGCAACCUGAAGCGUCUGUAACCCGAGGUAUGACUGUACAGUGGCACCUCGGGUUACAUAUGCUUCAGGUUACAGAUGCUUCAGGUUACAGACUGAAAUAGUACCUCGGGUUAAGAACUUUGCUUCAGGAUGAGAACAGAAAUCGCGAGGCGGCAGCGGGAGGCACCAUUAGCUAAAGUGGUACCCAGGUUAAGAACAGCUUCAGGUUAAGAACGGACCUCCAGAACGAAUUAAGUACUUAACCCGAGGUACCACUGUAUUGUGUUUGCUUUUAAGGUGCUGCUCUCUGCUGUUGUCUCUGCUGCCGUUAGACGGAGUGAGCUGACCACCUCAUGCAGAAGUUGCUGAGGGAGCAGCAGUGAGGUGUUGUGGACCAGGUCUGUCUGAGCCAAGUGGCCUGCUGUGUACCCCCAAAGCUAGCCCUCAGAUGAUGCCGCCUCACUGCCACAACUGAACCGAGCGCCACUCUGAUUGGCUUUUGUACAUGGACCUAGGAGGGCAGCACCAUCUUGCCUGUUGCCUCGGGUGGCGAAAUGCCUUGGACACCAGACUGAUGGAGCACUGUCCCUCUGGAAAUGGUCGCCUCUAUCCGCCAUUCCUAGCGAUUCUGCGUCACGGCCUCCGUUUAUGGCUCUGCAAAUGGGCACAGCUUUGUGCCCUUCAAACCACACCACCUUCCCUCGUGUGAUUCCAGCCCACUCAGAUCAUAUCCAUCUCUGAGCAGCAAACUGGUUAACGUGACCUUGCGAAAGGUUGGUGGGGGCUGGGGUUACUUCUCCC